AAAGGAAGGUUAUGACGUGUGUAGUUAGAUCUGUAGAGGAAACUUUAUAUUCCCUAUUAAAAUGGAUUCUAUGCUUGCUCAGGAGAUUCAGUCCCUCUAAUGAUAAAAGUUUUGAUAUCCAGAAAUGGAUAGUAGAGUUCUUAUACUGAAGGACAUCAUUACUGCAACUUGCUCUAGGGUGCCUCAAGGGAUAGUGAAAGGUCAGAAAGCUGUUGUAAUAAUGUGAUGUAUCAGAGCUUCCCAUUAAUAGUAUGGAGGGUUUAAAAGGCCCCUCAUGCUGAAGACAUUCUGUCCUAGGAAGGAGGAGAACAUAGCUUCUUGCAUUCUCUGGAUGCUGAUAAUAUAUGAAGUGGCACAUCCUUGAACUCUUCAGUGAGACUGGCUCCUCUGAAGUCAUUAUAUUAAGCAAGUGUUAGGGUGCCAUGUGCUUAUAUAUUUGUGUGUGUGUGUAGUGUGUGUGUGAUUAGAGGAAGGCCGGGACUGUAAUCCUAGUACAAAGCUGCCUCAGAAGUGUGAAAUGUGGGUUAUACAUUUGUUAAAUAAGUAUUGUGAAAAUGGAGCAUACCACAUUACAGCUUACCCCCCAUUAAUGUUCUGUAUUCAGAUGAAAAAGGCUGCAAUCCUGUGGGAAUGUUCAGGGAUGCAGGAGAGGAUAUAUUGUUUGAUGAUAUCCUUCCUAACUUGCUAGGAUUCCUGGUAAGAUCCCUUCUUGUCCCUCUUAAAAGGAAUAGACACGACAGUCUUAUCAAAGUCAAUAUAAAAGUAGUUUACUCACAAUCAUUCAGUUCACAGUUGGAUCCCUGAAGGCAGACUUAGGUUGCAAAACUAUAUACACAUGUGUAACUAUCCCAUUAGGGAGUUAGUGCCUAAGUGACUGUGGAUAGGCAGUCACUUCUGCUAACACAUGGAACAGCAAAAUGGAGAAGAGCCAAAGAAAGGAGCUGUGCUCCCUUGCCCAGGUUAGGCCACACACACACACACACACACACACACACACACAGGCCUCUAGUCCCAUGCAGAAGAAGUUUGUCACAGCUCAGGAGGAAAUGGGAAGUUAAACUCCUGGCUGGUACAAAGCAUCCACUAGCAUGUCCACUCUAGGAAUGUUGUACUUGACAGCUAUGUGUUUCACAUCCCACAAAUCCUAUAUGCAUUUUCAUUAAAGUCUUAUUGAACUCAGUGGGUCCUGUUUCUGAGUUUAUAGGGCAACUGUUUAUAGGACUUGGGCAUCAAGUGCAGAAGGGAGGAGUUUACAAAUUAACUAAAUAAUACCACACUUCUCAUUCUGCAUGCUAAUUUCAUUUAUAGCUCUGCAAGAGAUUGCAGUUUGGUUUUUAUAUAUACAUACAAAAAGACAGAAGACACAAUCGUAAAUCUGCCAUAUCAUGAGUAAUUUGGUCCCGAGUGCCUGUGAAAACAUGAAUGUGACAAAAAGGAAAUGCGGAGCCAUUCUUCUAAAAGGUAGCAAAGCCUCAGUUUCUAUUUGUGUGCAUUCUCAUUCAGGAAAUAUAUUUAGCCUGUGCUCUUGAACCAUCUUACUCAUAAGUGUUUGAAAUUGUCAAGUUGCUCCCAUCUUUCUUUUAUGAAACUCUGGCUUAUGUGACAGCCAGCUGUGUCCCUCAUAACUCUGAUAACUGCUGAACAGCUGAGAAGCAGCCCUGAUGUAAAGGAAUGAGAGGGAGGGCGGCCUGCUCACAAGGCUGACCGUGGCCAGCUUAAUGAAACAGCAACCGAUCCACGUGCAACUUGCAACUUUUUUUCCUUGGGAUGAGUAGGAAUCCACACCCCUUCUGUAUUUGUAAGAACUUGAUUAUUUAUUGCAGCAGCGCCUACAUACCCUCCAACCAGGACGCCCAUCUUCUGGAGGCACUGUGGUCUAAAGCACUGAGCCUCUUGGGCUUGCUAAUCAGAAGGUCGACGGUUCGAAUCCCCGCAACGGGGUGAGCUCCCGUUGCUCUGUCCCAGUUCCUGCCAACCCAGCAGUUCGAAAGCAUGCCAGUGCAAGUAGAUAAAUAGAUACAGCUGUGGCGGGAAAGUAAACGGUGUUUCCAUGUGCUCUGGUUUCCGUCAUGGUGUUUAGUCAUGCUGGCCACAUGACCUGGAAGAGCUGUCUGUGGACAAGCGCCGACUCCCUUGGCCUGAAAGCGAGAUGAGCACCACAACCUCAUAGUCACCUUUGACUGGACUUAACCGUCCAGUGGUCCUUUAACUUUUUUUACUAUAUAUCUCCAUAUGCCUUUGAAUAAUAGUUCCAUAUCAUCAUCAUCAAACCUUUUAUUGGCAUCACAUACAAACACCCAUAGCAAAUCAAUACAAAAUUACUGCCUUCCCAGUGACACAAACCAAUUGUCAAAUGAAAGAGGCAAAGCAGUCUAACAUUACAUCUCUAGGUCUCCAGGGAGAUCAGACAUCUGCAAUGUGUUUCGCCGACAAAAAACCAGAUAAAGAUAUUUAGCCACUAACUUGGUGAGCUCCUGAUUAUUCCCCAAUAAUAGAAAAUGUAUGACCUCUAACUCUGCUUUCGUGCUCGAGAAUCUGGACUUCAUCUGCCCUGACCAACCUUGACUUCAUCUUGACUGGAGACUUUAAUGCCUGCCUAGGCCAAGGGUGGGAAGUGUCUACAAAAGCAUGGGAGAUCUUGGAUACUGACUGCGUCUCCAGGAAAAUGACUAGGAAAAAGAAGCGACCGGUCUCAUCUCCACAAGUGAGCCCACAGCAGAAGUGCAAUAGUUCCAUAUGUCUCCCCUCAACAAAGCCAGAUCUUGAAAGUUGUCGCCUGCAUGCAAUCUUUCUGCAACACAGCCUUCACUUUGGGAAAGAAAACCCCAGGGCGUUAGGAAUUAAGAGAACCAUGUAUUGGACUGCUGUCAUUGUUUACUCUUCCUUCUAUCUUGACUGAAUGCUUGGAAAGGGUGACCAGUGCCAGACUUCAGCCUCGGGUUACAUACACUUCAGGUUACAUACGCUUCAGGUUACAGACUCCGCUAACCCAGAAAUAGUACCUCGGGUUAAGAACUUUGCUUCAGAAGGGGGGCCACUAGGAGCGCAUCGGAAGAUGGCUGACAAUAACAUCUCUCCGACCCACACGAGGUAAUUAAGAGGCUGUGAUGGGAGUAAACAGCCUCCCUGCCCCCCCCAAGCGUGUGGGGGGGGACUGCCCUUGCCUGCUGUGCCCUAUACCACCCCCGAAUUUGUGGGGGUGGGGGCACUAGGCAGAAAGCCCUUGUGUGGAUCUCGGCGCUCCUGGACGCUGUUUCUGACUUGCACCUCUAGCUGCAGUAACUUCAAAAAAACAAUUAGGAGGAAGCUAAUGCACAUAUUUCAAGGAAGAAGGGGGAGUAAAGACUGCUAACUGAAGAGAUCUCUGAUAAACAAGACGGGUCGGAGGAACAAGAAUAAAUCAUGAGAAGACACACCAAGGCUCGGUAUGUUCGGCAACGGGACUGGAUGGGGGAGGGGGGAAAACUUUUCUUUCUUUUCUCUAUGUGAUUAACCAAGAAUCCCCCCCCCACAAGUCACAAGUCAGAAAUGCCGUUUAAAUGACUUAAGCUGUGGAUUUAAGACUGUGUGGAGAUAAUUUUCUAACCAAAGCAUGUUUCAAGAAGAUCGUGGAAAGCAUAAGAGCUUUGGAAUGACGCAGCAAAAAAUACUGUCACCAUUUUGGCAAGUUCUGUCGGAAGACUUAUAUCUGGGAGGAGGAACAGAUCUGUUUUUAUAUUGUGGGUGAACCUCCUCAGAGGGACUAAAGAGCGACAGAUUUGCGAGAUUAAUGAUGGAAAGAGUGCUGUUAUUUAUGAAAGUGAUGAUAUAUGGAAACCAUCUUGAUAUGAUGAUUGGAUGAACGGAAAAAUUCACACAGGAUUAUAAUUGGUGUUUACCUGCUUAAGGAGAUUAUCAGAAGAGAUCAUAAAGAAAAAAAGAAGAAUAUACGAACAAGAUGAGAUGUGGAAACAGCAAGAUAAGACUGGAUAGAAUUAUGAACAUUAUUUGGACAGAUUUGUGGAUAUUAACGCAGCAGCAAGAAGAUAAUCGGAAUCCCCUUCGGAACUUGAAAUAUGGGUCCCCCCAACAAAAAUUUAAAAUUCGGCUUUGUAAUUCGGAAUUUAUGUGAUGUGAUUUGAUUUGAUUUGAUUGGUCAGUUAAUAAAAAUUAUUUUUUUU
rnacentral:lncRNA from 1 species